GCGGUGCGGGGGUGGCGGCCCGAGAUUGGAGCCAGUGAGGUUUCGGUUACGCGCUGCGGGAGGCAGGCGGGGGGGAGGGGACGAGGAGCCGCCCGCCGCUAUGGAGCCCGACUCCGUGAUCGAGGACAAGACUAUCGAGCUGAUGUGUUCUGUGCCAAGGUCUUUGUGGCUAGGCUGCUCCAACCUGGUAGAGAGCAUGUGCGCACUGAGAUGCCUGCAGAGCAUGCCCAGUGUCAGAUGUCUCCAGAACACAUCAGUAAUGGAGGAUCAGAAUGAAGAUGAAUCUCCAAAGAAAAAUACCCUAUGGCAGAUAAGUAAUGGAACUUCAUCCGUGAUAGUCUCAAGGAAGCGACCAUCGGAAGGAAACUACGAAAAGGAAAAAGACUUGUGUAUUAAAUAUUUUGACCAGUGGUCUGAAUCAGAUCAGGUUGAAUUUGUGGAACACCUUAUUUCACGAAUGUGUCACUAUCAGCAUGGACAUAUUAACUCUUAUUUGAAGCCCAUGUUACAACGGGACUUCAUCACUGCAUUACCAGAGCAAGGCUUAGAUCACAUAGCAGAAAAUAUCCUUUCCUAUCUUGAUGCCAGAUCGCUCUGUGCAGCAGAGCUGGUGUGUAAGGAAUGGCAGAGAGUCAUCUCUGAGGGAAUGCUAUGGAAAAAAUUGAUUGAGAGAAUGGUGCGCACUGAUCCACUGUGGAAAGGGCUCUCUGAAAGAAGGGGUUGGGAUCAGUACCUGUUUAAAAACAGACCCACAGAUGGCCCACCAAAUUCAUUUUACAGGUCAUUAUACCCAAAGAUAAUACAGGAUAUAGAGACUAUAGAAUCUAACUGGCGAUGUGGACGACACAACUUGCAAAGAAUUCAGUGCCGCUCUGAAAAUAGCAAAGGUGUCUACUGUUUACAGUAUGAUGAUGAAAAGAUCAUCAGUGGCUUACGGGAUAACUCCAUCAAGAUUUGGGAUAAAACAAGCUUGGAAUGUUUGAAAAUAUUAACAGGGCACACUGGCUCUGUUCUCUGCCUGCAGUAUGACGAGAGAGUCAUUGUAACUGGAUCUUCGGACUCUACAGUGAGAGUUUGGGAUGUAAACACAGGCGAAGUUCUGAACACACUGAUUCAUCACAACGAGGCAGUGCUUCAUCUGCGUUUCAGUAAUGGCUUAAUGGUGACAUGUUCAAAGGACAGGUCCAUUGCUGUUUGGGAUAUGGCAUCACCUACUGAUAUCACUUUGCGUCGUGUGUUGGUUGGCCAUCGUGCUGCUGUUAAUGUUGUAGACUUUGAUGACAAGUAUAUUGUCUCUGCGUCAGGUGACAGGACCAUUAAAGUCUGGAGUACAAGUACAUGUGAGUUUGUUCGUACUCUAAAUGGGCACAAGCGUGGCAUUGCAUGCCUUCAGUACAGGGAUCGACUAGUUGUGAGUGGAUCAUCAGACAACACCAUUAGGUUAUGGGAUAUUGAAUGUGGGGCCUGUUUAAGAGUACUAGAAGGCCAUGAAGAACUGGUUCGAUGCAUCAGAUUUGAUAACAAGAGAAUUGUUAGUGGAGCCUAUGACGGCAAAAUUAAAGUUUGGGACUUGCAAGCUGCUCUUGACCCUCGUGCCCCAGCCAGCACGCUAUGCUUGCGUACAUUGGUGGAACAUUCAGGACGUGUGUUUAGACUCCAGUUUGAUGAAUUUCAGAUCAUUAGUAGUUCCCAUGAUGACACAAUUCUGAUUUGGGAUUUCUUAAAUGUGCCACCCAGUGCCCAGAAUGAGACACGCUCUCCAUCCAGAACAUACACUUACAUCUCCAGAUAACAGUCUGCACUUUACUAGCCUCAUAAGCAUCAGCAGUAAAACAGCCAUUUCCCUGCAUUUUGUUGAGGACUACAGAAGUAGGCUUCAGGGUACUCAGCAUGUGUUCAACAUUUCAACAUUAGCCUUUAUUUCUGGAACACUGAACUCUUUGGCUAGGAGGAGCAUCAAAUGAGUACUGCAAUCGGUUCCAUAAUCUUGAACUACUGGAUAUCUGGCUACUACAUGCCUGAAGAUGUUGAUUCACAGCUAAAGUCAGAAUUGGUGAUAGAUGCUGUGUAGAUGCAAAGCAGCGCAAUUCUGUAUCUCUCUUAAUCUUUCCUGCUCCCUUUCAUUCCCCAGAGGUCUCCUCUAAGGAAUUUACUACAAAUUCACUGACUUCAAGUAGAUGAAAAUCAGAAGCCUGUUCUUCACCGCAGUGAAAAAUCCAAAGCUUCAUAUGUAAAUUGUCCAUAUAAACUGAACUAUGAUGGCUUGUUUUCCAGAAAUAAAUCAGAAGUCAAGAAAGGACUUGGCCUAAUUUAUAUUGCUUUGCACUUUUGUCUGACUUUAAAGAAAAAUAUUCUGCAGUGAAAUUUGGGUGCCAAACACAUACCCAGAAUGUACAGAGUUUUGCUUUCAAAGUCACCAUGCUCCUUUAGACUUCAUGACAAAUUCAGAGCCUGUUUUGUUUGAUAGGGGUGUACGUUGGACUAUUAGAAAUAUUUCUGAAUGGUUCAGUAAUAUUUUUGGAUUACAGUUUACUUGUUUCUGCUCCAAUACUUUCUUUUAAUUUAAACAUUACCUGUAAAUCAGGCUACAUUAUCUAAACUAGUUGUAUAGCAACGUCUUUUUUUUUUCUUUUAACUGUGCUCUGUAAUACAACCAUCCUACUCUUCCUAACGUUUGGUAUAGUAAAAUCUUUCCAUGUGUGCUUGCCUCAUAAUUUCAAAUACUGUAUAAGCAUGUCGAUAUAAUGUACAUAACAGUUUAACCUCCAGGUGCUAGAAGUCAGGAUCUCCUGACACUACACACUAAUACAAAAUGUGUUAGCACUUGGCAGCAGGACAUUCUAACUACUGGCACUGAAGGGAUUAAUAUGAAUUACAUAGAAAUAUUUCUUUGCAAAAGGAAGUUUUCAGUAUUCAUUAGGAUUUUUUUUAAUGGGAACUACAUAUUUUAAAAUGUAAUUUCUAACCUUUUUAAAAAUUAAAGUUUAAUUUAUGUUCUGUAUCUUAUAUUUUGUGCCGCAGUAUUUACAAAACAUUUUUUUUAAUUAGUAGGUUGCCACACAUGCCUACAGAUGUCCUUCCAUAGCAUUAGUUUGGCUGCUCAAUGGAAAAAAUGCCAUCAGCCAAAGUUACAUUUAUUUAAAUAUGUAACUUGUAACAACUGAGGCGAGGUAGAAGCCCCUUCAAGGAAGUACUGUGAUGACCAGAUUUAAAGUUGAAUUUAAGAUCACUUACCCAUAGCUGUUACACUAUGACCUUGUUGUGAUGCCAUGGUCAAUGUUUCCCUUCAUUAGCAUGUCCUUAUUAGGAAAUGUCUUAGUAGUUCCUUCUUACGUUGUCGUGAUUCUUCUGUUUCUAAUUUAUACAGUCACAUUUAUUUAAUCAUAUUUCUCUUUGUGAAAGCAAGACCCAGAUAAAUGCCGUCUUUAUAGUAUUGUCCUAUUAAGUUGCCAUGUAGGACUACAGUUUUCAGUAGUUUUCUUUAAUGCUUAGUUUGAAAAUGCACUAAAACCAAGAGUGUGUAAGAUAUACCUAUUGUCCUGGGGGAGAAAUAUGUUGUCACAGAUAUGUAGCCAGUCAUUUCUCUAUCGUCAUUUGUUGUGUAUUUCGUCUUCUGUUGGCAGCACUUUUUGGUUUCAGAUUUUCCCUUUUUUGGUUGAGGGGAGUUACAGAAUGUCAGUGAUACUUUCGAUGACCAGUGAUUUAAUACUAAACUUCCAGUGCAACAGCUGUGGUUAGAUGUCAUCCACCUUCAUGUCAGGCAAAUUCAGAAUGAAGCACACAUCAGAUGUUACUGAAAUGUCAGAAGAGUACAACUUAAAGUUAGUCCUCUAUUCCAUUGAGAGAGAGGUGUUGGGAUCAGUGUUUGUUAGGAAAUUCCCUUUAACUUGUUACUACAAAGAUAUUUAUUUCUUCGAGAUGAUCAAACCUCAUGAAGUACAGAAGAUAUCAUGUUUCGAUAAGCGUCUGUAAGAUCACAUUUUGGUAAGCUUGGCAGUAGUUUGUGAAAGUGGCUUAAUUUACCCUUUUCAUCUAAUAGCUUUAAUAUUAAACUGUUUUUAAAAAAAGACAUCCGUUGCAGCCCUGAAGAAACAGCUAUUUGUUUAUGAAGAAUGGAGUCCCUUUUUAUGCAUGUGUAAGAUUAAAUUCAUGUUUUUCCUUGGGAAAUAAUGGUAUUUGAACAUGCAGUCUCACCUUCUUUGAUUGUGCUUUGUGUAACAUAGCAGUGGACUUUGUGAUUGGCACCCAAGGAACUUGGCUCCUGGGACUCCUGGCUGCACUCUGGACUUUGUUUUGCUAACCAUAAUUGAGCAAUUGUACAUUACUGCUAUAUUAAUGUUUCAAAGCACUGGGAUAGUCUAAUUCUAACUUGUAAUUAUGUUUGCCAAUGACCCGUUUGGAAAGUUUGUGUAUGAACAGCUGAUUGAAACUGUUAAAUUGUACAGAUAUUGUUCACGAUCUAAAGCUUUGUACCGUGGAAUGUGCUUAAUAAAAAAAUUGAACUUCA